AUUGAACGCUGGCGGAAUGCUUUACACAUGCAAGUCGAGCGGCAGCGCGGGGGCAACCCUGGCGGCGAGCGGCGAACGGGUGAGUAAUAUAUCGGAACGUACCCCGUCGUGGGGGAUAACACAGCGAAAGCUGUGCUAAUACCGCAUACGACCUGAGGGUGAAAGCGGGGGAUCGCAAGACCUCGCGCGAUGGGAGCGGCCGAUAUCGGAUUAGCUUGUUGGUGAGGUAAAGGCUCACCAAGGCGACGAUCCGUAGCUGGUCUGAGAGGACGACCAGCCACACUGGAACUGAGACACGGUCCAGACUCCUACGGGAGGCAGCAGUGGGGAAUUUUGGACAAUGGGGGGCAACCCUGAUCCAGCCAUUCCGCGUGAGUGAAGAAGGCCUCGGUUGUAAGACUC
rnacentral:rRNA from 1 species